rnacentral:rRNA from 1 species
GUAGGUGGCAAGCGUUGUCCGGAAUUAUUGGGCGUAAAGCGCGCGCAGGCGGUUCUUUAGGUCUGAUGUGAAAGCCCACGGCUCAACCGUGGAGGGUCAUUGGAAACUGGAGAACUUGAGUACAGAGGAGGAAAGCGGAAUUCCACGUGUAGCGGUGAAAUGCGUAGAGAUGUGGAGGAACACCAGUGGCGAAGGCGGCUUUCUGGUCUGUAACUGACGCUGAGGCGCGAAAGCGUGGGGAGCAAGCAGGAUUAGAUACCCUGGUAGUCCACGCCGUAAACGAUGAGUGCUAAGUGUUAGGGGGGUUUCCGCCCCCCUUAGUGCUGCAGCUAACGCAUUAAGCACUGCGCCUGGGAGUACGGCCGCAAGGCUG